GACGAACGCUGGCGGCGUGCCUAAUACAUGCAAGUAGAACGCUGAAGGAGGAGCUUGCUUCUCUGGAUGAGUUGCGAACGGGUGAGUAACGCGUAGGUAACCUGCCUGGUAGCGGGGGAUAACUAUUGGAAACGAUAGCUAAUACCGCAUAAUAGUAGAUGUUGCAUGACAUUUGCUUAAAAGGUGCAAUUGCAUCACUACCAGAUGGACCUGCGUUGUAUUAGCUAGUUGGUGGGGUAACGGCUCACCAAGGCGACGAUACAUAGCCGACCUGAGAGGGUGAUCGGCCACACUGGGACUGAGACACGGCCCAGACUCCUACGGGAGGCAGCAGUAGGGAAUCUUCGGCAAUGGACGGAAGUCUGACCGAGCAACGCCGCGGGAGGGAAGAAGGGUGUCGGAUCGUAAAGCUCUGUUGUAAGAGAAGAACGAGUGUGAGAGUGGAAAGUUCACACUGUGACGGUAGCUUACCAGAAAGGGACGGCUAACUACGUG
rnacentral:rRNA from 1 species